CUCUGCAAAAUUAAUUUAUAAUAAAUAAAUAAAUAAAUUUUUUACGCACAUCAUCAUCACUUAAAACAAAACUUGUCGCUCUAAUUCACUCACAUACGACUCAAGUGUCUGUAGUAAUUAUAAUUACACUAACUAGAAUUAUGAGUACUUGGUAUUUAUGUACUGGAAUUAAAAUAUUUGGUGGAGUAUCAACCGGCAGUAGCUUUCAUUGUACCUCUACUCAGUAGCCAUUUGUGCAGCAUAUCCGUGGAAAUUUUAAUAAUAAUUAUAAUAUUUAAAGUUUAUUUAUUAUUAGCAGAUUGCGGAAGAAAAUUUAUAACGUGAAAAAUAAUUAGACAGUUGAACACAUGCUGGAACUGGUAAGCAAGUAUUGAUAGUUAUCAAUAGGAUGAAAAUAAUAUAAACAAAAUGUCUUGGUUUGAGUCUUGAGUCGUCUUGUUGUUCCCCUUCUUAUUAAAUAUUCCGUCUGUUCACAGUCACAGCAUUGAGCAUACGCACUCCAGACUAUAGAGUGUGGUACCUCGUACCCGUACACACAACAAACACCAGCGCAACUAAUAUAAUAACCAGCGGCCAACGAAAACCAAGUUAAUAGUAUAUUCUCGAUCUGUAGUGAGUAACUGAACGAACUAAACGACAAUAGUGACAAUGCGCCGUCGCAGAGCUGCCACGAUGUCUCGGCCAAUCAUUGAGCGAAUAACAAUUUGUUGGAAGAUAAAAGAUUAGUCAAAGAACGGAAUUUUUUAAAAAAGUUAUUGGAGGUAAAUAUGUUUUAAGUGUUAUGAUUUAUAAGGGUUGGAAAAUUGUUUUGGAAUGUAUCCAAGUACAAGAAAAAAUAUAUAAAUCGCAAGAUGAGGGGCGGAAAAAGAUGGAAAAGAUAUUGGUGCUUUAUGUUUGGAAAACUGAAAAAAGUAGAAUGAGAUAGAAAAAUAAGUAGAGAUUGUUGAGGUUGAGGUAGAUG